rnacentral:miRNA from 1 species
AACUAAGUUUGUUCUUGGUAUAAGCUUUCAUGUGCAUGCACACUUCUUCAGAUAUCUGGGUAGUAUCUGAAGAAGUGUGCAUGCACACGAAAGCUUAUCAUCAUCAUCAUCAAUCUUUAU